GAUGAACGCUGGCGGCGUGCCUAAUACAUGCCAGUCGAGCGAACGGACGAGAAGCUUGCUUCUCUGAUGUUAGCGGCGGACGGGUGAGUAACACGUGGAUAACCUACCUAUAAGACUGGGAUAACUUCGGGAAACCGGAGCUAAUACCGGAUGAUAUUUUGAACCGCAUGGUUCAAAAGUGAAAGACGGUCUUGCUGUCACUUAUGGAUGGAUCCGCGCUGCAUUAGCUAGUUGGUAAGGUAACGGCUUACCAAGGCAACGAUGCAUAGCCGACCUGAGAGGGUGAUCGGCCACACUGGAACUGAGACACGGUCCAGACUCCUACGGGAGGCAGCAGUAGGGAAUCUUCCGCAAUGGGCGAAAGCCUGACGGAGCAACGCCGCGUGAGUGAUGAAGGUCUUCGGAUCGUAAAACUCUGUUAUUAGGGAAGAACAUAUGUGUAAGUAACUGUGCACAUCUUGACGGUACCUAAUCAGAAAGCCACGGCUAACUACGUG
rnacentral:rRNA from 1 species